AGUGAACGCUGGCGGUAGGCCUAACACAUGCAAGUCGAACGGCAGCACAGUAAGAGCUUGCUCUUACGGGUGGCGAGUGGCGGACGGGUGAGUAAUACAUCGGAAUCUACUUUUUCGCGGGGGCUAACGUAGGGAGAGUUCUGCUAAUACAGCAUACGACCUACGGGUGGAAGCAGGGGAUCUUCGGACUUUGUGCGUUUGGAUGAGCCGAUGUCGGAUUAGUUAGUUGGCGUGGUCAAGGCCCACCAAGGCGACUAUCGGUACCUGGCCUGAGCGGAUGGCUCGCCACAUUGUAACAGAGACUGGGUCCAGACACCGACACGAGGACGCAGUGGGGAAUAUUGGGCGAUGGAGGCAAGCCUAAUCCAGCCAUACCGCGUGGGUGAAGAAGGCCUUCUGGUUGUAAAGCCCUUUUGUUGGGAAAGAAAAGCAGCAGGUUAAUACCCCGCUGUUCUGACGGUACCCAAAGAAUAAGCACCGGCUAACUUCGUG
rnacentral:rRNA from 1 species